CUACGAACUGCCGCUCCAUUCUUUUAACACUUUGCAUGAAUAUUCUGAUCUUAAUCUUACAGCACAGUUAUACAGUUAUUACCAGUACACAGAGAACAGAGUAUGUUUGUGUGAGGAUAGUUGUCAGAAUGUAGGAAUCAGAGGGGUACUUGUGUUACACAUAAGACCCAACACUCUAUUACAGUGUUUUCAAGUGUAUUCCAUAUCCAAGAGAAUGAUGUAUUGUUUGUACUAUUGUAUGAUGGACAGAAAAGUAAAUAAACAUCUAGUAAACUACCACUGAGUUCAGUCGUGUGGCUCUGCUAGAUUGGCGCCCAACGU